rnacentral:rRNA from 1 species
CAGUCGCCACGGUAAUACGUAGGGUGCAAGCGUUAAUCGGAAUUACUGGGCGUAAAGCGCACGCAGGCGGUCUGACAAGUCAGAUGUGAAAUCCCCGGGCUUAACCUGGGAACUGCAUUUGAAACUGUCAGGCUGGAGUCUUGUAGAGGGGGGUAGAAUUCCAGGUGUAGCGGUGAAAUGCGUAGAGAUCUGGAGGAAUACCGGUGGCGAAGGCGGCCCCCUGGACAAAGACUGACGCUCAGGUGCGAAAGCGUGGGGAGCAAACAGGAUUAGAUACCCCAGUAGUCCCUGUCUCUUAUAC